GCUGGAUGGACUGUGAGCGGGCAGCCGCGAAGAGGUCUGGCAGCAUGCAAGGUGUUUCUAUGCUACAUGGCCGGCUGGGCGACACGGCUGGAAGGUGGCUAGCUAACUGAGGGGCUUGGAGCAAGAGUUCUUCAUUCAUUCACUGAUACACUGCCUAUGCUGUUCAGGGCAUUCAGUUGGAGUGCCUGGGAGAGCGGAGGCUUCGUGGCCGUUUGUCUGCCGUCGAUCAUCGGUCACAAAGUAUGGCUGCGGAUCGAGAGGUUUGUGUGGCUUCGUGCACCAACUGCACCCUUCUCUUAGAGAGGUUGUCCCUGCUAGAGGGACGUGUCCGCCAGUUAGAGCAGAAUUGCGCGAUAACUGUAGAUGUGGCGGAUACAGACGCGGGCUGUAGUCAGCCCGCUAGCCCAGUUAGCAUUAGCCCCAAGCGGCUUGCUAAUCGCGAUGAGCCAGGUAAGACGCAUAGCCGUCCAAAGUCAUCUCGGUCUACUGGCCCUCGCACUUUGGUCAUAGGUGACUCCAUUACCCGAAAUAUUACGCUUAAAAAUCCAGCCACGGUAAUGUGUAUUCCUGGGGGCAGAGCACCCGACAUAGAAGCUAAUCUUAGGGAGCUGACUCGCAAUAGGUCUAGUCAACACCGUAGUUCCAUCAACACUAGCUACUCGGACAUAGUGAUACACGUCGGCUCCAAUGAUGUUAGGAUGAGGCAGUCGGAGAUCACAAAGAGAAACAUAGCGAGGACUUGUGAUCUCGCUAGAAAGAUGAGUCGGCAUCGAGUAUUUGUCUCUGGCCCCCUGCCUGGGAGAGGCACUGAUGAGAGGCUUAGUAGAUUAGUCUCCCUUAAUCGAUGGAUGGCUGGGUUCUGUAAGAAGCAGGGACUGUAUUUCAUAGAUAACUGGCCUUCCUUCUGGGGCCGCCCCGACCUGCUGAGGAAGGACGGCCUUCACCCUAACCGUGAAGGCGCCUUCACUCUUUCUAGGAAUAUAGAUUACUGUUUGAGCCACACAUGACAGGUCACUUUAGAGCAGGCCGGGUCACAGGUGAUUAGACCACCUGUCAGGAUGGGUUUGGAGUCUGUUAAGAUAAAGUUAACUAGCGCUAGGCUAGACUCCCAGCAUGCACAUAGCUCCUUGUGUAGACUAGAGCGUGAUAGUUUGAAUAGUGCGACAGUACACAUAAACGCACUUUCUACUGGGGUAGUAGACAAAUCCAAUCACUCCACCCCGACCGGUUUUGCUGAGGAAACGGUGCCGGUUUCAGAUAAUUCUACACGUGUAACAAAUAUUUACUAUCAGAUUCCCACGGUCGUAUCAGCCCACCGCGCUAACAAACAUUUGAGAGGUGAUGUCAGGCUUAGAGAACACAAUCUUACUCGCAUUUCGUAUAAAUAUCCUUCGAUAAAUACGCACCCGGAUCGACCAAUUACACUUAAACUUGGUUUUAUGAAUAUUAGAUCGCUUCAUACGAAA